ensembl:lncRNA
CUAAGUGUAUGUAAACUAGUGUUAAUGACUCCAACCUAAGUGUAUGUAAACUAGUGUUAAUGACUCCAACCUAAGUGUAUGUAAACUUCAGACUUCAACUGUAUGAAUCACUGUCUGUUUGUCUGUUCAUCUUCUACCAACCAAGCCAUCCAGCUUUCUAAAAUAUCUAUCAACCAAUUGCCUUCCAUCUGUUUUUGUUUCUGCUUCCCCCAGUUGUCCUACUUCCCCCUUUCUCUCUCCUUCACUCUUCCCUCCAUCUUCUGUUUUGAUUGAUUGAUUGAUUGAUUGAUUGUGACUACAGUGUCUGAGCUGAGGUACGUGGAGUUUGCUGAGGGGUUGGCCAUGAACCUGACAUCGCUAAGGAAACGGUCGGCUGCGUUGCUACGGAAACUGAAGGAGCAGCGAAGCCACGUCCAGAAACAGCUAGAGGACAUGUACCGGCAAGAGGUGGACGUUGAGAUCAAACUGCGCUCCUGUCAAGGAUCAUGCAACAGGUCCAUCGCUUUCCGUAUCGACCACGACAGCUACAGAUCGCUAGCCAAUCAGAUGGCCCUGUUCAGUAACACCGCCAAGCAUCGGAAGAGCUCUCCUCUUAAUAAGGACAUCGCCAAGAUCAAACUACAGCCGGUGACUGUCGGUCCCCUGCCGUCGACCACCUAUAAAACCAUCCCCAUGGUCCAGAAGGAACUCCUGACUCAGUUUGAGGAUCUAGAACAGAAUCAUGUGGUUCUAGAAGAGGUUCUAGAAGAAGCAGAAUGCCUGGGUUCUGAAAGGGAGAGAGGAAAAGGAGAAGCAGGCGUUCUAGAAUGUAAAUAAUAAACUCAGAUAGAGAUCUCUGCCUCUCUGUGAUAUCUUGGUUCAGUUCUGAUAGAUAUGUUAUUAUGAAUAUUCUGCCCUUGAGUUGCGUUCACAUGCAAAACUAGACAGAUAGCUAACAACUAAGUCCUCAAUAAAACUCCCAAGGCGUGACUUUUCUUGAAUGAAUAUAUUGAAAAGGUUUAUGUUGUGAAACUGCAAAAUACAGAAAAGAAUAUACUUUAGUAUUCAAUUCACACCGACAUACUGUAGCUGUACAUUAAACAUUAGAAGUUGCAUAAAUACAAAGCACGCGCCAAGGUACCAUGCAUCUGGCAUGAUGCCAAACCAUAUAGCUAAUUGUUACUCAUAUGGUAAUUGGCUCCUUUCAUUACUCUAAUAAUGUAUAACCAUCUAUGUAGAAUAACAAAGCAUAUUACACUAGAAACAGUAACAAAACUACAGUAUUGUAUAUUUUACAAUUCGUUUGCAUGACGCACGAGCAAAGUAAUACAGCUAACGACAUACAUUAAAGGCAUUGCAAUUUGUGAGUAAAUGCAACCAACAUUGAUAUGUAAGCAACUCUAUCAAUAACAAGAUUAUCAUCAUUAGCUAAAUGCUUGAAUCGAACUUACAAACAAAUAUGUUUCCAAGGCUGAAGCGUGACAAGAAAUAACUACAUUGAAAGACCUGCACCGUAACGUUGUUUGUAGCUGCUUCUAUGCAUGCAAAACAAAUUCUGUACUUCCUGUUUGCGUCGUCUUUCUAAGUACCAGAAAGCGCCACUAGGGGGCAAAUAACACCAUUGAACACAAUGAAAAUCCAAUUUAACCAUUGUAAUAAAAUAAUCUGUUACCUUCUAACAGGAUGGCAGCACAAUGAACAUAUUGGGGUCAUAUUUUUAUUUACUUCUAAUAAAGGACUGCUGUUUUAAUUAACAUAAACUAUCAUUAUAUACAGCCACGGGAAGUAGGGGUGUUGAGGAUGCCUCACUGGGGUUCUACUCCUGAGUGGUGCAGUGUUCUAAGAACCUGCAUGUCUCAGUGCAAGAGGUGUCACUCCGAA